UACAGAGGCCUCAAGCGUUAGGCGGAAUCACUGGGCUUAAAGCGCGUGUAGGCGGAUCGUUAAGUGUCUUGUGAAAUCCCACGGCUCAACCGUCGGAACUGCUGGACAUACUGGCGAUCUUGGGUCACUCAGGGGCAACUGGAACGAAGCGGUGGAGGCGGUGAAAUGCGUAGAUAUCGCUUGGAACGCCAAAGGUGAAGACAGGUUGCUGGGGGUGUACGAGCUGGAGACGCGAAAGCCAGGGGAGCAAACGGGAUUAGAGUACCC
rnacentral:rRNA from 1 species